rnacentral:tRNA from 2 species
GGGGUUUUAGCUCAGUUGGCUAGAGCGCUUCGUUCGCAACGAAGAGGUCGGGGGUUCGAAUCCCCUAAACUCCA